rnacentral:rRNA from 1 species
CCUACGGGUGGCAGCAGUGAGGAAUAUUGGUCAAUGGUCGCAAGUCUGAACCAGCCAUGCCGCGUGCAGGAAGACGGCUCUAUGAGUUGUAAACUGCUUUUGUACGAGAGUAAACGCAGAUACGCGUAUCUGUCUGAAAGUAUCGUACGAAUAAGGAUCGGCUAACUCCGUGCCAGCAGCCGCGGUAAUACGGAGGAUUCAAGCGUUAUCCGGAUUUAUUGGGUUUAAAGGGUGCGUAGGCGGUCGGAUAAGUUAGAGGUGAAAUCCCGAGGCUCAACUUCGGAAUUGCCUCUGAUACUGUGCGGCUAGAGAGUAGUUGAGGUAGGCGGAAUGUAUGGUGUAGCGGUGAAAUGCUUAGAGAUCAUACAGAACACCGAUUGCGAAGGCAGCUUACCAAGCUACUUCUGACGUUGAGGCACGAAAGCGUGGGGAGCAAACAGGAUUAGAUACCCCUGUAGUC